AGAAGUGGCUUGUCUUACAAAAAUCGAGGCCUGCUGAAACAUUUUGAGGAAAACAUUUGUUUCAUUUUGUGUGAUAUGGAUCUUCCCUUGAGUCAAGGACAGAAGAUAAAGGAGGAAAGUUUGACAUUUUGACUUCAGUCUGGAAUGCAGCCUGGGACGCAGUCCUACAUCAUUGCCUCAUCAGUCAUGGGGAAGCUGAAGGAAGAGUACAUUUGGACCAGGACAAGUCAAUACCAAGGGCUGUACUUUCAUUAAGGUUUUAUUGCCUUUCCUGAGCUGCAUGAGUGAAGAUCACGAGUCAGCAACACUAUGGUGGGCACAGCAGUACAGUAGUGUCAGAGAAGACUCACGUGAUUCAUCCUAGUUUCACACAGGCAGAAGAGAGAGAAGGGCAAACAGCUUGGGUUAUCAGGGAGCUGUAAUAUUUUGGUGAUGUUUUUCUGCCUUUAUAUCCUUAAUUUUGCCAGAUGCCCAAAUUAUGACGAACAUUACUUCAGAAACCCCACUUGCGUGCUUGCAAUCCAAGGUGAAAUUGCAUCUACAGAACUACUGGUAGAAUUUUUAGGUUUUUCUUUCUCUAAUUCCUGUAUCAUUAAUGAAUUCUUCCACUAAGUACAUAUCAAAGAAUUUGUGGUUUUCCUCACACAGGAAGUGAAUUAAGAAUGAGAAUUUGUUCUGCUCUUCCUCAUAAUACAAUGAAAGGCUGAAGUCAAGUUAGUGAAUUACUUCAAAAUAGAAAGCUCUCUUUUUGCUCUGUGAAACACUUUACAAUUACCUUUUGCUGUAAUUUACAUGUAAAAUUACCUUUACCUGUAAUUUGAGACUCUUGUUCACUCACCUACUCACUUUAUAUAAUGAAGCACAGUCCUUCUGAACAGGAACACAAAAAUGUGUUCCACUAAAACUGAGAGAGUGAAUGAGGCCAAGGUCAUCACACAGGGGUGGGAACAGCCAUAUCCUGCUCUGCAGGCUUUGGCAUUGCCCACCUUUAACAAAGAGCCCAGAGAAAAAAAAUGCUUUGAAUGCUGAAUAAGACCUUAAGUUAAUGUGGGAGAAACGGACAGGCACAGAUUUCCUUCAAACAGAUUUGGGAAACCCUGCUACAGCCUCUAUGUCAGCUUUUGUUGACGCUAUUCCUGGGGGUCACUUUCCAUCAAUGUAUUUUAAGAUUAUCCUGUAAAAAGGGGCUGCAUCCAGGAUGGUCUCUGCCAGGUGGGAGCUCUCAGACUACCAUCUGGUGGUGCCUUCAACAUAUUCGCACGUAAAUAAAUGAACAAACAUGGCGAGGUCCAUGACAGAGGGUGCCAUGUGGUUCCGUUGUCUCUAUUUUUUGUAUUGCUCUCACAUGCUGUAUUGCUCUCACAUGCACUAUAAUCUAAAUGGAGUGUUUUAAAAAAAAAAAAAAUAUUUACAUUUAAAAAUCCAUCACCUUGACACUUUGGCAGAUGGUUUUGGAGGCUGUCUUUUAUACCAUGCUUCUUAAAACUCAUCAGAUGCUGCUUCUUCUGUUUCAACCCUCUCCCCGCCCCACUCACUAUCAUUAACAUCAUAGCUAAAUUGCCAGAUGUAUAAAUGCUAUUUUCCAUUGAGGUUGCCAUGUUACCAAAUAAGUACAAGUUAGAAGGAGGAACAUGAAUUUAAUUCUGAAUACCAGUGAGACAGAUGUUUCUGUUACGAGGGAUUAGCACUAAAGGCUUCUUUUCUCUUACUCAAAAAAUAGUGGUGUUUCUAGCACUCUUCUGUAAUUAAGUAUCUGCUCUGUGUGUAUAUUCUUUGUGCUAAAAGUUUUACGCAUUAGGGAUUAUGUCAUGUUUCUGUUUUGGCGCAUUAAUAGAGCAAAAAAGAUUGCUUGCCAGAAACUGCCCAUAAGUUCUUAAAUAAAUAAACAAAAUUAAUUUC
rnacentral:lncRNA from 7 species